GCAAGUCGAACGAUCCCUUCGGGGAUAGUGGCGCACGGGUGCGUAACGCGUGGGAAUCUGCCCUUGGGUUCGGAAUAACUUCUGGAAACGGAAGCUAAUACCGGAUGAUGACGUAAGUCCAAAGAUUUAUCGCCCAAGGAUGAGCCCGCGUAGGAUUAGCUAGUUGGUGAGGUAAAGGCUCACCAAGGCGACGAUCCUUAGCUGGUCUGAGAGGAUGAUCAGCCACACUGGGACUGAGACACGGCCCAGACUCCUACGGGAGGCAGCAGUAGGGAAUAUUGGACAAUGGGGGAAACCCUGAUCCAGCAAUGCCGCGUGAGUGAUGAAGGCCUUAGGGUUGUAAAGCUCUUUUACCCGGGAUGAUAAUGACAGUACCGGGAGAAUAAGCUCCGGCUAACUCCGUGCCAGCAGCCGCGGUAAUACGGAGGGAGCUAGCGUUGUUCGGAAUUACUGGGCGUAAAGCGCACGUAGGCGGCUAUUCAAGUCAGAGGUGAAAGCCCGGGGCUCAACCCCGGAACUGCCUUUGAAACUAGAUAGCUUGAAUCCAGGAGAGGUGAGUGGAAUUCCGAGUGUAGAGGUGAAAUUCGUAGAUAUUCGGAAGAACACCAGUGG
rnacentral:rRNA from 1 species